rfam:Triticum aestivum genome assembly, contig: Triticum_aestivum_CS42_TGACv1_scaffold_129643_2BL
GAGCUACUCCCUCCGUUCGGAAUUACUCAUCCAAUAAAUGAAUGUAUCUAGAUGUAUUUUAGUUGUAGAUACAUCCAUUUUUGUGACAAGUAAUUCCGAACGGAGGGAGUACAUA